rnacentral:misc_RNA from 1 species
ACCGUCCUCCUUGUGCGGAUCGCUGCGUUGUGUUCUCUUUCCUCUUCGGAUCCUCAUCUCCUCCCUUUACUUCACGUUCCAGGGCGUCACUACUCUCCGCACGCCGAGCUCGUUUUUGUUUCCGUGGCACACUGGACAAUCGAAAAAGAAGACGAAAACGCACACACCUUGCGCGCUUUAUCUCCCACAGGCAACAGAAGAAGUGUAAGCGAAGAUGAUCUCUCAGUGCUUCUACCUGGCGGCGCUGAUCACUACCGCCAUGACCAUCACGACAUCCAAUGUCACCUUCUACCAAGAGGGCCUUUCCACAAGGAUAGAUGGCACACCCACUGUCGUCCGCAACAUCGCCCCGGAUUGGAUUGAAACGGCGGCGAUGACCGUCAGCUCGACGACGAAGGAGCUGGCCGUCGUGCUCGCGGAUCCGCUUCGCGCUCACAUGACGGCGGAUGUGACAAUCGGUGAUUCGGCGACCGCUGUCGCCGCAGAUGUCAAUGUGUCCAUCUACGGAGCGUUCAACAUCUCCAAGAUCCCUCACGAUGACGACUGCAACACCCAGUCAUUCGUCAUGAACUCUUGCCACGUGUACAUGAGGGUUAGCGGCACUGUCGACACCGUCGCCCAGCUACCAGCUGACGAGCAGAACAUCUGCGAUGCCGUCAGCCAGAUCACCCAUGAUCUUAUCACCCCUGUGGCGUUCAUUCCCUACCCUCCUGUUGUGGACGGCGCGACGGAUAUCGCGAAGUCGACCUACCUCAUGAAGUACCGUUUGGUCAACGUCCUCUCCGAGAACACCGGGUUGCCUGUGGAGGCGCAUUUCGUCCGCAAGAACGUUUUGCGGGUUGCCUUUGGCUCAUUUGUCCGCACCAGCAUUCUGUUCGACUCCGCCUACGACUACGACGUGGACGUGCUGAACGCCAUGGCGGUACUGUCGCGGUGGGCCACGAAGAAGCUCAAUAUCUCGAUUGACCCCGAGAACAGCACAACCACAAGGAUCCCGUUUCACGGCGGUGCUGUCACUGUCCCGACGCUGCGCAGCAUUGUCCGUCAGGCUAUCCAUGAAGACGCGUUGGCGACGCUGCGGACACUGGUGCCGCGUGGUGCUUCCGUGUCCUACGAUGUUGUCAUCAACGACUUUCAGUGCAAGCUUUUCAACACCAUUUGCUCCGUUCCUGUGUCGAAUGGCGUGCAGGUGAUCAACACCCGGUUCAGGGGAAUGGGUGACCUCGGAACGAUCCUGGACAACACAGCCAGUGCCUCGAUGGAUGCCCUUCUGACCAACAUCACGACAGUGGCGUUCAAGCUCGUUGGUAGCACCUUUGGUGACCGCAUCUAUCUACCUGUAUUCUGAGGGGGCUCAUCGCCCUUCCCUCGGUGCGGCUAGGUGGUGUCGCUAUGACGAGGCGGAAGGUAGGCAAGACAGUUGCCUACCAAAGACGCUCAUUCAGCCCGUCAGCGAGACGACGGAAUGCCUCGACACUCCACAGCAACCCUUGCGAGCCCUCGCCGGCGUUGUCACAUGCGUGACUGUCGUGCAGAUAGCCGUGGGAUACGCUCUCCGUGCUCUCCACUUCUCUCUCCCUCUCUUUUGUCAUCUGCACCUCCUUUUUUUUUCUUCCGGCUUCCUGACUUUCCCCCUAAAUGCUUUGCCUUUUGCUCUCUCGUGUCUGUGUGCGUGUACGCGAUUUUGUGCGCAUUGACCACCACGUGGUGAAG